UCACAGCAAGUUGUGGUGGGUAUUGGAUUGGCUCCUGUGAUGAUCACUGUUGCAACAGCAGCAUCUUCUUCACCUUCUUCACCUUUUUGUUUUGCAGAAUAAAUUCACAUAUUACCCUCAAUGAAGGACAAAUGUCGAGCAAUGAAUUGAUCCACCCGAAUAGGCAAGUUUUCAUGCUUGAAGAGCCCACGUUUGAUGUUUUUGAACUCUGCUUCAACAUUGGCUGAACUUGCAGUGAUGUUGGUGCUUCGGAAGUGAGGGAUCAUUACCCCUGUCCAGAGUGGUCAGUCUGUGUUUGGUCAAAUGGAUGCACUUCUUCCAGGUCCUCACACUCUACAUCUGGAAUGAUUACACACUCUUCUGCAAUUCUGGCUUUCAGUCCCACUGGCAGACCAUCUUGAUGCAGUGUGCAACAUCAACCUGAACAAACAAGGUGGCACUUUUGCUGACACUUUACCGACAUUUGCACCACUGGGACACUUGAACUCUCAUCCCCUGCCAGAACACCCUGAUAUAAGAAGAUAUGGCCAGACAUGCCAUUUGGUUUCUGUAGUUUCCUCACCACUGAGCCAGUUGCAUCAAAACUCACAGUGGGGGUGGCCAAAUUAGGAAGAUGGCUUGGUUCAGGAUCUCCAAAAUCCAUCAGCUUUGUUGCCUUUGAUGCCCUCCAUACAUGGGGUUCCAUUCUACCCUCACAAAGUUCCUUGGCUGUCUGCACAUGCAAGUUACCAGACAUCAGACGCUUCGAACAUCCAGUGUGCAGCACCUCAGCAUGCAAGCACACCAGAAAAAAUGUGUGAAUAAUAAAAAGUAAGUGAUUGUACUGUGGAACCAUCUCAAGGAAGUGUAGUAAAGAUAAUGCUGUCAGAUUCAGAGGACAACCAUCCAGGUACUUCAGACGAUGUUGGGACAGAGAAUCGGUGUUACAGAGAAUACAUGGAGGUGUUGCACCUGAAAAUAGUGAAGAGGAGGGUGAGCUUGUAACCACAGCUGACUGUCUUGACCUCCCAGAA